UGGGGAAUUUUGGACAAUGGGGGAAACCCUGAUCCAGCCAUCCCGCGUGUGCGAUGAAGGCCUUCGGGUUGUAAAGCACUUUUGGCAGGAAAGAAACGUCGCGGGUUAAUACCCCGCGAAACUGACGGUACCUGCAGAAUAAGCACCGGCUAACUACGUGCCAGCAGCCGCGGUAAUACGUAGGGUGCAAGCGUUAAUCGGAAUUACUGGGCGUAAAGCGUGCGCAGGCGGUUCGGAAAGAAAGAUGUGAAAUCCCAGAGCUUAACUUUGGGAACUGCAUUUUUAACUACCGGGCUAGAGUGUGUCAGAGGGAGGUGGAAUUCCGCGUGUAGCAGUGAAAUGCGUAGAUAUGCGGAGGAACACCGAUGGCGAAGGCAGCCUCCUGGGAUAACACUGACGCUCAUACACGAAAGCGUGGGGAGCAAACAGGAUUAGAUACCCUGGUAGUCCACGCCCUAAACGAUGUCAACUAGCUGUUGGGGCCUUCGGGCCUUGGUAGCGCAGCUAACGCGUGAAGUUGACCGCCUGGGGAGUACGGUCGCAAGAUU
rnacentral:rRNA from 1 species